rnacentral:rRNA from 1 species
UACGUAGGGGGCAAGCGUUGUCCGGAUUUAUUGGGCGUAAAGAGCGUGUAGGCGGUCUGGUAGGUCCGUUGUGAAAACUCGAGGCUCAACCUCGAGACGCCGAUGGAAACCAUCAGACUAGAGUCCGGAAGAGGAGAGUGGAAUUCCUGGUGUAGCGGUGAAAUGCGCAGACUAUCAGGAAGAACACCCGUGGCUAAGGCGGCUCUCUAGUACGGUACUGACGCUGAGACGCGAAAGCGUGGGGAGCGAACAGG